AACUGAUACUACCUGCGGGAACCUGCGGAAGGAUCAUUACCGAGUUUACAAAACUCCCAAACCCUUUGUGAACCUUACCUAUCGUUGCUUCGGCGGGACCGCCCCGGCGCCCUCGCGGCCCGGAACCAGGCGCCCGCCGGAGGCCCCAAACCCUCAUGUCUUUAGUGGUUUCCUCCUCUGAGUGACAUAAACAAAUAAAGUAAAAACUUUCAGCAACGGAUCUCUAGAUCGGAAGAGCAC
rnacentral:misc_RNA from 1 species